AUUGAACGCUGGCGGCAGGCCUAACACAUGCAAGUCGAGCGGUAGCACAGAGAGCUUGCUCUCGGGUGACGAGCGGCGGACGGGUGAGUAAUGUCUGGGAAACUGCCUGAUGGAGGGGGAUAACUACUGGAAACGGUAGCUAAUACCGCAUAACGUCGCAAGACCAAAGAGGGGGACCUUCGGGCCUCUUGCCCUCAGAUGUGCCCAGAUGGGAUUAGCUAGUAGGUGGGGUAACGGCUCACCUAGGCGACGAUCCCUAGCUGGUCUGAGAGGAGGACCAGCCACACUGGAACUGAGACACGGUCCAGACUCCUACGGGAGGCAUCAGUGGGGAAUAUUGCACAAUGGGCGCAAGCCUGAUGCAGCCAUGCCGCGUGUAUGAAGAAGGCCUUCGGGUUGUAAAGUACUUUCAGCGGGGAGGAAGGUGUUGAGGUUAAUAACCUCAGCAAUUGACGUUACCCGCAGAAGAAGCACCGGCUAACUCCGUGCCAGCAGCCGCCGCCG
rnacentral:rRNA from 1 species